UGCAGCACUGAUGGAUCUCAAUGCCGUGCUGAGACCUCAGUUUACAACUCAGGAAGCAGCUUGGCAGAGGCCAGUGUUGCUGGUCAGCAUCCUCCCCUUGCAGACUUUUCACCAGAAUCCCACCUGAAGUGGAAGAUGGUGAGACAGUGAGCAACAGCCACAGUUUGUAGCUUGGGAGAUUCAAAUUGGACAGUGGAAAACAAAAUCCACGGGAAUCGUGCUGUCAGUGAACAGAUACCCAGAGAGAAAGCAUUAACCUUCCUUGGUUAAAGAAGACUUGGUGUAAAUAAUUUCCAUAAAUAAAUAAAGCACAGAAGCCUGC